ACUGACCAGACUUCUGCUUGUAACCACUGUUUGCUUUUCCUGACAGAUCCUACUGUCCUGCCUAUGGAAAUGGCUUGCUACAGUAAUGUGUAGGAUCAGCCUGGUCCUGGGCCCCCCUCUAACUGUGCUGCUCUACUUCCAGGACUACUGUAUCAUCCUCUGCUAGAAAGACUUGGCUUAGAGACUGUUCUUCCUGCCCAGAACCUAACUGCCCUCUACUUUCUGCCUUCCUUUCUGCACAAAACAUAGCAAUACAACCCCAGGUUUGAAAUACUCUUCUCCUUAAUAUGGGAGAGUCUACAUAGGCUGUAAAACUUCCAACUUGCUACAGAAAGAAAAAUGAAGAAUUUCAGGUUGUUGUCUGUCCAUGGUGAAGAUGUUUGUCCUGGAAAAGCUCUUUGUACCAUUGUUAUGACAGUGGACAAAGGCCCCCUCAGACACUUCCUCUUCUGCCUUAGCUUUCUUAAUACUCCAUCUCUUUUGAUCUGAUAUCCUCUUCUUAUCAGGAAGGAGGGAUUUCAUGUAGGACUGGACUAAAAAGAAUUUUAAUGGUCCACUGAUUCCAGUGUCCUACAAAAGGUAGCAAGUCACUUUACAAAAUGUCUCUUGGUGCCCUCUCCAUGACCAGGACACUCCAUGGAAACUCCAGACAAAUGACUCCAGUGAGCUGCACAGGGCAUGCAUUGGAGCACCACGGGUCACACCAGGAACAGUGCCCUGCCACCGCUGCUGCAGGCAGCACCCUUGAGAGCCUCCAUGUGUGCUUCAAUCCAAAAGCAAGGUUCCCAUCCAGAGGUGCAUUCCAGGAGCUGGAUAAGUAAGCUGCAGAGCAGAUCUCCUGUGCAAUCUCUCUGCCUGCCUGGAGUCAUUCCCUGCUGGUCACAUGGUCCCUGGCCACCUUUGCUGAGGAUGGCAAACACCCAUGCCUCUGUGUGGUAGAUGGGUUUGCUCAUGUGUGCUCAACAUCUGCUGAAAGAAACUCAACCAAGACAAACAUGCAGGUGGCCUCGUUCUGCUGGUACCUGACCCAUCCAGGCCAUGCAUGCCUUUGCCAUGGGAGUCUCUGCUCCAGCUGCUGCCUCCAGCACAGAACCAACAACAUCCAUCACAGCACUGGAAGUCUUCCAGGAUUACUCACAGGUGGUUCAAAUUUUGUCUUGGAGUCAAAACUUGCCUUGAGAUUUGUCUCCAAGGCAAGUUUUAAACCAUCUGUGAGUAACACUGUGAGACUUGAAGGCACCAGUGGCCAAAAACUGUUUUCUUGCAGAGUUCCUCAGUGAAGACAAGGUGCAUCAUUCCUGCCAGGCACCUGGCCAGGAGAGCUGUCACCAGGAGUCAAGACCUCAGUGCUAACGCCAGCAGCAAGGGGAGCAGCGUGGUCCGGAAACACAAGAGGAGAAGCACAAGAUGCCAUGGAAAUGACAUAAGAACUUGUCUUUGCACAACAGGGAACCAGGCUUGGGAAGCAGCCUUCAAACAUCUCACUGUGCUUUGGUAACACAAACUCUACUCAGAGACUCCACACUAGUGACGUUGCAAGUACCACACAGCAUUUGUUUUUCUGGGUGGUAAAUUGAAUGGAUGUGUCCUGAAGGCUGUGAGGGUUGUGCUGUACAGACUGGUUUGGCUGGGUUGGUGCUUUACUGUGGUUGAUAGAUUUUUAUCAGAUGCUUUUACUUGUUAAAUUUUCCUUGGUUGUGGGAACAAUCCAGCAAAUAGUAAAAAUGAUGGAGCACCAGGAGACAUGCAGCCAAGGAGAUCAUUUGUUUGGCUGGAUCCCUUCCUGCACAAGGGAGCCUUUGUGUGAGCUCACAGAAGAGCCGUGUUCGUCUUGCUGUGGGCAGAACUGGCAGCAGGCUUCAGGCUUUGUCUCCAUGCAGAGUCAGGCUGGCUUGGUUCUCCACGGAGCCGAAAACUCAUUAUUUCCGAGGUUAUGGCCAGGCUGCUGGGAGGCUACAAUUCCUUGUGAGAAGUGCCUGUCUCCCAGCAGCAUUGGCAAGGAGGCAGCCAGGCCUUUGGACAAAGGAAGAGGUUUGUGCUGGUCUCAUAAAGGAAUCUCAUGCUGCCUGUGAGAGCUGCCAUGGGGGUCGUGCUUCUUUGGCAGUGCUGACCUCCUCGGAGAGCUGCAAAACUGGGCGAACCCAUGGUUUGUGGGUCAAGGACAUGGGCUGGUCAUGGUUCCACCAGUACCUGGUCUCCAAGGUGAACUGCUCUGGUAGAGGUACAUAUGCAGAACUGGAAACUGAUCAGUACAAAUGCAUCUGUGGAGGAUUGGCUGCAGUGACAGGGGGCGAUGGCAAAGGGACAGCUCUCCCAGGGGUCUCCUGGGGUGCAAGUCACUCCUGCUCCUGCAGCACCAGCUCCUGAUUAGGCACUGCCUCCAGGCUCCUCCUCACCAACUGUGCCAGACAGGACUCAGUCCAGCUGCUGGGUGGUGAAGACUCCGGAGGAGUGCAGGCAAACACUGGCCCCCUGCUCACACCUGAGGUGCAUCUACACCAUGGUGGAGGUUCCACUGUCUGUGACAUGGCAAUCUUCCUCUUACAGACUCUGCUUUGUCACAAUCUGGCUGUAAAACCGGGGGAACACUGGCACCAGUCCUGAAGGCAGCUGUCCCCGCAGGCAUGCCUAGUUUUAGGAGAUUUGUGAGGGUGUGGAGAAUCAUUUGUGCAGGGAUGAGCAUCCUUCAUUGCAGGAUCUUCAUCACAUACAGCACUCGAUACCAGAAAUUGAGUGUUUUGGGAUGAAAAAGAGGGAACAGCAUUCAUGGGGCAUAGCCUGGAGUUCCUCUUUGCAGGCAAGGUGGGAUGGGGAUCCAAUGAACAAGCUGAACAUGAGGGCAUGAAUUAAAAGCUGUCUUCAAAGCA